UCUGCAAGAACCAGCUGCUACUUGGGCUGGACAGGAGGCCUGUCUCUGCUUUGCACAAACGUACCACCAGAGCUGGGGAGAGGGGCUGAGGGCAAGAUCAAGGCCGUACACUAAGGGCUGCUGGCUGAGGGGCAUGCCAGGGAGCCGUGUUCUGACCCAUGUGGACAGUUGGGAGGAAGACGUUGGAGCCCUGAGGGGUCCUGGCAGGGGGCCCGAUUGAGUGGGGGGUGUUCUCCUUGGAGGGAAAUGUAACCUGUCUUCACUCUGACGUUUGCUGAGAUGUGGUCCAGGGGAGGCGCCAGCCCAAGGAGAGCAGGAAGGCAAUUCCCGCAUGUCCUGGUGGCUCCUGUGGGCUGGUAUGUCCUUGUGCCUGGGGUGGGGCUGGCUGCUGCCUUCUUGUCGAUGGUGCUGAAAUCCCACCGCCCUGGACGGUCCUGUUUGUUGCACCAGGAGGGUCUGGGUGAGACUUGCUCUGCCUUCCUGCCCCAACCUUCACCACACGGCUCGGCCAGUGAAUGGGAACAGGCAACAUAGAGGGAGGGCAGGCGCUCUGGGUGGGCAGUGGGGUGAGAAGGUUACAGGCUCGCAAGCCAGGCCCCCUUCCUGGUAGUACAAUCCCUGGGGGUGACACUCUGUCCACCACAGGAUACGGUCUUGGCUUCCUGCUGGGGGCAGGGUGUCUGAGGGCCUCCAAAGCCAGCUCUGCUUCUGUGGCCAGCGAGGCGGUGAGGAGCCACGGCUUUACCAGCUGGCAACCCUUCCACCCUCCAGUUGGUGCUGGUGGACAUGGCCAAGCCCGGAAACAUGCUCUGGUUGCUGCCUGACAUAGGCCUGGCCAUGGGCUGGGACCCCUCAGGCCCCACAUCUGCGCUCCGUUCUGAAGGCCAUCCCUUCCCAAGUGCCAAGACUCUGCCCAGGUGCUGAGUAUGAGCACCCAAGGCUGCCUCUUUCUUCACAGCCACUGGGCUAGGCCACCUUGGGCUGCUGCCUUGGGGCUCCACUAAGAACGAUUGCUUCUCUUUUAAUUGAAUGUGGAAAUGUGCUCCAUCCAAGGAGUACUGUUAUUAUU